ACAAACUUGGUCAUUUAGAGGAAGUAAAAGUCGUAACAAGGUUUCCGUAGGUGAACCUGCGGAAGGAUCAUUAUUGAAUAAACUUGGUUGGGUUGUUGCUGGCUCUUAGGAGUAUGUGCACGCCCACGCCAACUUUAACCACCUGUGCACCUUGUGUAGAUCUUAGGGGGGUUAUUGGGAACUUUGUUCUCGCGUAAUACUCCUAAGUCUAUGUUUCUAUACACACCACAAGUAUUAGAAUGUUGUAUAUAGGCCUUCGUGCCUUUAACAAAUAUAAACAACUUUCAACAACGGAUCUCUUGGCUCUCGCAUCGAUGAAGAACGCAGC
rnacentral:misc_RNA from 1 species